AUUGAACGCUGGCGGCAUGCCUUACGCAUGCAAGUCGAACGGCAGCACGGGGCAACCUGGUGGCGAGUGGCGAACGGGUGAGUAAAGUAUCGGAACGUACCAUUCAGUGGGGGAUAACGUAGCGAAAGUUACGCUAAUACCGCAUAUUCUCUCUGGAGGAAAGCAGGGGAUCGCAAGACCUUGCGCUGAUUGAGCGGCCGAUAUCAGAUUAGCUAGUUGGUGAGGUAAAGGCUCACCAAGGCGACGAUCUGUAGCGGGUCUGAGAGGAUGAUCCGCCACACUGGAACUGAGACACGGUCCAGACUCCCACGGGAGGCAGCAGUGGAGAAUUUUGGACAAUGGGGACAACCCUGAUCCAGCCAUGCCGCGUGAGUGAAGAAGGCCUUCGGGUUGUAAAGCUCUUUCGGCCGGGAAGAAAUCGCAUGGGUUAAUACCCUGUGUGGAUGACGGUACCGGAAUAAGAAGCACCGGCUAACUACGUGCCAGCCGCCGCCGUAAAAC
rnacentral:rRNA from 1 species